UAUGACCAUAUCAUGUUGAAACAUUGGUUCCAGUACAGUCACCAAAGUUAAGCAACAGUGAGCCUGAUCAGUACCUAGAUGGGUAACCUCUUGGGAAUACCAAGUGCUGUAAG